UUUCAUCAACAUUUGCUUAAGUACAAUGGAUGGCUAUGAUUCUCAAUGGCAGUUAACCGUUGUGUACAUAUCUGCCAUUGCGCAUCAUAUUGUAAUAUUAGUAACAUAUUCAAAUAUGUUUUACAGUUAUAUCAUGGAAAUUAGUUUGGGUAACCUUGUUGCAUAUAUUUAUGGGUUAAAACAUCGACAAGGUCCUGCAGGGUAAAUUCUGGACGAUACAAAGGGGCGAUAAGAAAGUUGAUACUCUCCGCAGACCCCCUCGGGUCCCUGUUUAAGGGCUGAUCCCGAAGCGCCAUGCAGUACUUCUUUCACAGUCUGUGUUAAUUAGACAAUCUUGGAGUCGUUCGCCGCAAAGCUUUUAAAGAAAUAUGCAAAAGAAUAAAACAGAUUACACAAAGAGAUCGGCAAAUCUGAAGCGCUUGGUUAUGGAUAUGAGCUAGAAAGAAGAUUGUCUCUGCAAGACACCCUCUGUCCUGAGGCUUGGAUCUGGGCAUUUGAAAGCCAAGCACGUGGCCCUGCAUCAGUGACAGGACGUUGUCCAGUAAGUCGGUAUACUACAGUGAUGGUCUCUGACAUUCUGUUUAGACAAAUCUAUUUAUUUAACACGUGUUGUGGUGGGUCCCCGUUUGACUUCUUCUCUUCCAAAUGCUCACCUAAUGGAAGGCUACUUUUAGUGCAUUUGUCUUUCUCUCUCUAUUUACUUAAAACAAAACUUCAAAGGGCGACGAGAUUUAAAAUAAUGAUCCGUGCAUACACAUUCCCUGUACUGCGGGAUAUGUUGGGUAUUUUUAGACAAGGUUUCAUAUAGUGAAGUGACUGGUACGAAGUUUCACUCUCGCUGUAGAAGCAAAUAUAUUUUUCCUGUAAACAGACUCCUCAUCGGAAGCAACAACAAUAAAAAGAAAGGACGACAUUACCUGAUUUUCUGGCCUUCCUGGAUCUGUUCCUUCUAACGGAAAUGCAGCCAAAAAAAAAAAUCAAAAACUUUAUAACUCAUGAUACUUGAAGCAAUACUGACUUUUUAUUUUCUUUUUAUGAAUUGGUGCAAUUAUUAAUGAAUAUUUUUCACUUUGCUUUUAGAUUGGGUUUUUCAUAAUUGUCUGUUCGAUACUUGGUCACGGAUUUUUAAAAUUGAUAUUGUUUUGUAAAAGAUUGUUGAUAUUCUUUUAUAUUUGUGAUGUAGUCAGAUAGGUUUGCAGUUAUUAAUUAAAAUUCUAUUUGGAAUUUAUAUGUAAAAGUGUUAAUAAUUGUUUGAAAUGUGACAAUAUUUGUAUUUAUUAUUUGUUUAGUGAUAAAGAAAUGUUCAUUACC
rnacentral:sRNA from 1 species